CAGUAGCCGCGGGAAUACGUAGGGUGCAAGCGUUAAUCGGAAUUACUGGGCGUAAAGCGUGCGCAGGCGGUUUGUUAAGACAGAUGUGAAAUCCCCGGGCUUAACCUGGGAACUGCAUUUGUGACUGGCAAGCUAGAGUCUGGCAGAGGGGGGUGGAAUUCCCGGUGUAGCGGUGAAAUGCGUAGAGAUCGGGAGGAACAUCAGUGGCGAAGGCGGCCAUCUGGGACAACACUGACGCUGAGGCACGAAAGCGUGGGGAGCAAACAGGAUUAGAUACCCCUGUAGUCCCUGUCUCUUAUAC
rnacentral:rRNA from 1 species